GGACGAACGCUGGCGGCGUGCUUAACACAUGCAAGUCGAGCGGUAAGGCCCUUUCGGGGGUACACGAGCGGCGAACGGGUGAGUAACACGUGGGUGACCUGCCCUCAGCUCUGGGAUAAGCCUGGGGAACCGGGUCUAAUACCGGAUAUGACUCCAUGACGCAUGUUGUGGGGUGGAAAGCCUUGUGCGGCUGAGGAUGGGCCCGCGGCCUAUCAGCUUGUUGGUGGGGUGAUGGCCUACCAAGGCGACGACGGGUAGCCGGCCUGAGAGGGCGACCGGCCACACUGGGACUGAGACGCGGCCCAGACUCCUACGGGAGGCAGCAGUGGGGAAUCUUGCGCAAUGGGCGAAAGCCUGACGCAGCGACGCCGCGUGAGGGAUGACGGCCUGGUGUAACUACUUC
rnacentral:rRNA from 1 species